rnacentral:rRNA from 1 species
UACGUAGGGAGCGAGCGUUAUCCGGAUUUAUUGGGCGUAAAGCGUGCGUAGGCGGUUUAUUAAGUUUAAGAUGAAAGGCUGGGGCUUAACUCCAGCUUGUCUUAAAAACUGGUAGACUUGAGUAUGGUAGAGGUAAAUGGAAUUCCUAGUGUAGCGGUGAAAUGCGUAGAUAUUAGAAGGAACACCAGUGGCGAAGGCGAUUUACUGGGCCAAAACUGACGCUGAGGCACGAAAGCGUGGGGAGCAAAUA